UACGGGGGGGGCAAGCGUUGUUCGGAAUUACUGGGCGUAAAGGGCUCGUAGGCGGCCAACUAAGUCGGAUGUGAAAUCCCCAGGCUUAACCUGGGAACUGCAUCCGAUACUGGAUGGCUUGAAUCCGGGAGAGGGAUGCAGAAUUCCAGGUGUAGCGGUGAAAUGCGCAGAUAUCUGGAGGAAUACCGGUGGCGAAGGCGGCAUCCUGGACCGGCAUUGACGCUGAGGCGCGAAAGCCAGGGGAGCAAACGGG
rnacentral:rRNA from 1 species